rnacentral:rRNA from 1 species
AUUGAACGCUGGCGGCAUGCCUUACACAUGCAAGUCGAACGGCAGCACGGGCUUCGGUCUGGUGGCGAGUGGCGAACGGGUGAGUAAAGUAUCGGAACGUACCUUUCAGUGGGGGAUAACGUAGCGAAAGUUACGCUAAUACCGCAUAUUCUGUGAGCAGGAAAGCAGGGGAUCACAAGACCUUGCGCUGAUUGAGCGGCCGAUAUCAGAUUAGCUAGUUGGUGGGGUAAAGGCCUACCAAGGCGACGAUCUGUAGCGGGUCUGAGAGGAUGGGACGCCACACUGGAACUGAGACACGGUCCAGACUCCUACGGGAGGCAGCAGUGGGGAAUUGUGUACAGUGGGGGCAACCCUGAUCCAGCCAUGCCGCGUGAGUGAAGAAGGCCUUCGGGUUGUAAAGCUCUUUCGGCCGGGAAGAAAUCGCAUGGGCUAAUACCCUGUGUGGAUGACGGUACCGGAAUAAGAAGCACCGGCUAACUACGUGCCAGCCGCCGCAGUAACAC